GACAACAGGCUGUGGGACUAGGAAUCGGGUUUUAAACAAACAAAACUCACCAGAACACUCGGUCGCUCAUUUAAACUCAAUUCCGGGUCUGCAGGAUACUGCGCACGCGCGGGAGGAAGAUCCGGUACAGAGGAAGGAGGCAAAUGUCGGUCCACAGAUUGGAUUCUCAUGCACGUGACUCUAGCCAAACUCUUAGUUGUUCAUUUGAAAGGAAUUCCUGAAACACUGGCAGCUUUGGAUGCACACUUGCUUUUUCCGUUCCAAGAGUUGGCAGAGAUGUGUCCAUUGGCACCAUCUUCCUCUUGAGUGCCUUUCAGGUGAUCAUCAUUCCCAGUGACUCCAGGUGGGCAGAGCUUAAGAGAAAAGCUCCCAAAUAUGUGGGCACCUUCAGUAUCCUCUGCUGGAUCUUCAGCAUGAUUCUCAGUAUUUUGGUUCCAUUUUAAAUGACUGCCAAGUGGAAGGACACAAUCAACACAGAGAAUAUAGAUCAUGGCUAGUGUUAUUUCUGGCGUGCUGCCCCAAGGCCACAGAUGUAAAGCCUUGCACCGAGAACACAGAAGAGGAGCUCAGAGUCAAGGACACUUUCAAAGCUGACUAUCCUCCUCUGUAACCAUUUUAAAAGCCCACUGAUAGUCAUACCAGGCUUCCAAACUCCCAGUGGGGCAAAGAUGCCCACUCCAGUAAGCACCCUAUAGUGCCCCAACCAAUCACCUAACAUCAACCAUCCAGCAGCAAUUUUGCUUUGAGGCUGUAAAAAUUGGCUAUUAGCUCAUGGAAACUGUCGGCAUCCCCUGGUCUGUGCAGAUGUGGGCCCAUUGCACUCGCACUGCCUGCUUUAUCUCUGCCCUUUGUUUUUAAGAAACUCACUCCUUUCUGAAA